AACCAACAGGGAUUGCCCUAGUAACGGCGAGUGAAGCGGCAACAGCUCAAAUUUGAAAUCUGGCGCAAGCCCGAGUUGUAAUUUGUAGAGGAUGUUUCUGGCGACGUGCCUUCCGAGUUCCCUGGAACGGGACGCCAUAGAGGGUGAGAGCCCCGUACGGUUGGAUGCCUAGCCUCUGUGAAACUCCUUCGACGAGUCGAGUAGUUUGGGAAUGCUGCUCUAAAUGGGAGGUAUACGUCUUCUAAAGCUAAAUACCGGCCAGAGACCGAUAGCGCACAAGUAGAGUGAUCGAAAGAUGAAAAGCACUUUGAAAAGAGGGUUAAAAAGUACGUGAAAUUGUUGAAAGGGAAGCGUUCAUGACCAGACUUGGGCAGGUUGAUCAUCCGUGGUUCUCCGCGGUGCACUCUGCCUGCCCAGGCCAGCAUCAGUUCGCCCCGGGGGAUAAAGGCUUUGGGAAUGUGGCUCCCUCGGGAGUGUUAUAGCCCACUGUGUAAUACCCUGGGGUGGACUGAGGUUCGCGCUCUGCAAGGAUGCUGGCGUAAUGGUCAUCAACGACCCGUCUUGAAACACGGACCAAGGAGUCGUCUUCGUAUGCGAGUGUUCGGGUGUCAAACCCCUACGCGUAAUGAAAGUGAACGUAGGAGAGAGCUUCGGCGCAUCUCCGACCGAUCCUGAUGUUCUCGGAUGGAUUUGAGUAAGAGCAUACGGGGCCGGACCCGAAAGAAGGUGAACUAUGCCUGUAUAGGGUGAAGCCAGAGGAAACUCUGGUGGAGGCUCGCAGCGGUUCUGACGUGCAAAUCGAUCGUCAAAUAUGGGCAUGGGGGCGAAAGACUAAUCGAACCUUCUAGUAGCUGGUUUCCGCCGAAGUCCC
rnacentral:rRNA from 1 species